rnacentral:rRNA from 1 species
GCCUGAUCCAGCAAUGCCGCGUGUGUGAAGAAGGCCUUCGGGUUGUAAAGCACUUUUGUCCGGAAAGAAAUCCUUGAUUCUAAUACAGUCGGGGGAUGACGGUACCGGAAGAAUAAGCACCGGCUAACUACGUGCCAGCAGCCGCGGUAAUACGUAGGGUGCAAGCGUUAAUCGGAAUUACUGGGCGUAAAGCGUGCGCAGGCGGUUUGCUAAGACCGAUGUGAAAUCCCCGGGCUCAACCUGGGAACUGCAUUGGUGACUGGCAAGCUAGAGUAUGGCAGAGGGGGGUAGAAUUCCACGUGUAGCAGUGAAAUGCGUAGAGAUGUGGAGGAAUACCGAUGGCGAAGGCAGCCCCCUGGGCCAAUACUGACGCUCAUGCACGAAAGCGUGGGGAGCAAACAGGAUUAGAUACCCUGGUAGUCCACGCCCUAAACGAUGUCAACUAGUUGUUGGGGAUUCAUUUCCUUAGUAACGUAGCUAACGCGUGAAGUUGACCGCCUGGGGAGUACGGUCGCAAGAUUAAAACUCAAAGGAAUUGACGGGGACCCGCACAAGCGGUGGAUGAUGUGGAUUAAUUCGAUGCAACGCGAAAAACCUUACCUACCCUUGACAUGGUCGGAAUCCCGCUGAGAGGUGGGAGUGCUCGAAAGAGAACCGRCGCACAGGUGCUGCAUGGCUGUCGUCAGCUCGUGUCGUGAGAUGUUGGGUUAAGUCCCGCAACGAGCGCAACCCUUGUCCUUAGUUGCUACGCAAGAGCACUCUAAGGAGACUGCCGGUGACAAACCGGAGGAAGGUGGGGAUGACGUCAAGUCCUCAUGGCCCUUAUGGGUAGGGCUUCACACGUCAUACAAUGGUCGGAACAGAGGGUUGCCAACCCGCGAGGGGGAGCUAAUCCCAGAAAACCGAUCGUAGUCCGGAUUGCACUCUGCAACUCGAGUGCAUGAAGCUGGAAUCGCUAGUAAUCGCGG